rnacentral:rRNA from 1 species
GACAGAGGUGCCAAGCGUUAUGCGGAAUCACUGGGCUUAAAGCGUGUGUAGGCGGAUGUCUAAGUACCUUGUGAAAUCCCACGGCUCAACCGUGGAACUGCUUGGUAUACUGGAUGUCUUGAGCCAUCUAGGGGCUACCGGAACAAAUGGUGGAGCGGUGAAAUGCGUAGAUAUCAUUUGGAACGCCAAUGGUGAAAACAGGUAGCUGGGGAUGUGCUGACGCUGAGACACGAAAGCCAGGGGAGCAAACGGG